AGAAUCAACGCUGGCGGCGUGCCUAACACAUGCAAGUCGCACGAGAAAGGGGAGCAAUCCCUGAGUACAGUGGCGCACGGGUGAGUAACACGUGAAUUAUCUACCUCCGAGUGGGGAAUAACUGAGAGAAAUCUUAGCUAAUACCGCAUAACACUUACGAGUCAAAGCAGCAAUGCGCUUGGAGAGGAGUUCGCGGCCGAUUAGUUAGUUGGCGGGUAAUGGCCCACCAAGACGAUGAUCGGUAUCCGGCCUGAGAGGGCGCACGGACACACUGGAACUGAAACACGGUCCAGACUCCUACGGGAGGCAGCGAGUGGGGAAUUUUGCGCAAUGGGGGAAACCCUGACGCAGCAACGCCGCGUGGAGGAUGAAGCCCCUUGGGGUGUAAACUCCUUUCGAUCGGGAAGAUAAUGACGGUACCGAUAUAAGAAGCCCCGGCUAACUUCGCGCCAGCAGCCGC
rnacentral:rRNA from 1 species